UUUGAUGCUUUCUCUGAGAUUAAGAGCUUGGGCUCUGUUCGUGUUUGUAAGGGUUCUUCUACGGGCAAGUCUUUUUGUGAUUUUGUCGACUUCAUUCCUCCUCAGGACAAAACGUCAAAUUUCACAUCAUGCUAUUAAGGCAAAGAAUAACACUUUUCUAAUGGGAAAAUGAAAGGGUGAUGAAGUCACUUCGAGAUUCUGAUGCAAGAAAAAAUGGAGUUGGGAAUGUGUUUGUCUAGGAAAGGUAUAAAGAAAUGGACUAUGUUGGAGGAUAGGGAUUAAUGCUAGGCUGAUCUAGUUGGAUCAUUCGCACAAUGUUUGAUGAGAG